rnacentral:snRNA from 1 species
UCAACUAUCCCGUCUUUA